UACGUAGGGUGCGAGCGUUAAUCGGAAUUACUGGGCGUAAAGCGUGCGCAGGCGGCUUUGCAAGACAGAUGUGAAAUCCCCGGGCUUAACCUGGGAACUGCAUUUGUGACUGCAUGGCUGGAGUGCGGCAGAGGGGGAUGGAAUUCCGCGUAGCAGUGAAAUGCGUAGAUAUGCGGAGGAACACCGAUGGCGAAGGCAAUCCCCUGGGCCUGCACUGACGCUCAUGCACGAAAGCGUGGGGAGCGAACAGG
rnacentral:rRNA from 1 species